GGUCUAUGGUGAAUUCGGAUUUCAUUAAGAUUUCUGCUAGCUUGUAGAUACUGUUUGUGAAUAACUUGGGGGAUAGUUUGACUUCUUACAAAACUACCAGGGUCAUGAAGAAGAAACUUUAUUGAGGGUGUUGAAAAGUUUCUAUGGAAAUGGAGUAUUUCCUUUUUCACUGAGCUUUCUAACCUUUAGUUCAAACAUCCUUUGAUUUGAGUCUGGUUUCUGUCAUUCUAAUGAUGAAUUUCUGGUAUAUUUAUCACACAUGAUUGCUGUACAAGCGUAGUCUCAGUAGGUUAAGUAGACUUCUUGCAUUGCAGUGUCUCAAUUCACUCUCUAGAUUAAUUUGAUAUCGAUUUCCCUUCAGGUUGUUUUCUCAACACUAUUCUUCUUCCUUUGUCCUCUUUUUUUUUUUGUUUAAACUCUUCUUUUACCAACCAAGAUGCUUUCCAAAAGCAUCCGGUGCCCCUAGGCCACUUUUUCUGGUUUUUGUAAAGGAAAAAGUUGGGAGGGGGAAAGAAUGGUCCUUUGCCACCGAUGCUUAGCUUGGUUGGGAACCUCUCAACCCGUGCUCGAUUCCUCUCGAGUGGCAGCGUCUCUUAAGUGGGGCUCAAUCAAGUGCGGGCCAGGAUGUUUCUGGGGUGGGUCUCUUUUACCUCAGCUGAGGAUUUGUCACGUUGCCAAUCGCCCUUUCUGGGGUGCUAGCGGGUGGAUACCCAUUCCACAAAAAAAAAGGUCCUUUAUCUUUUCUCUUUUACUGUGUCAGUAAAGGUUCUAUCAAUAGUAUAUGGUGUCAUUGUUCUUCAUUCCAUUCCUAUUCCAUAUUCCAUUUUCUGAGAAAUUAUUAGGAGCAGACUGUGUAGCUCUAUGUGCAGACUAUAAUAUGAGUACUCAAUAAUACACAACUUUAUACCCCAAUUAAAUUGAGUAUAUAGCGUGUGUAAAACUUUCUACUCUUCAAAUCUAUACGUAGAGCUAUGUAACUAGUCUGCAAGUACUAAUUUCUCCUUUUUCCAUUGUUCACUUUCAUCUCUUCACCUUAGUUCUUAGUUUCUUAGUAAGUUUGGUCAGUCUGUUGUUCUUGUGCAAGGCUCAAUUGAGCUCCAUGGGUUUCUUCUGAGAAUCUUAAAUAACAAGGUGUCGGCUGCUGCGGCCUGAGGCUUGUUGCUGUAGUACUGGAGUUGUUUCUUUAGUCACAGGCUGAUCCAGUUAUUGAGGGCCUCAUGGCUAGAGUUUCAACAGGUAUCAUUCAGAUUGCUUUCUGUCUGCUGUAUGGAAGUUUAUGAGUUUAUUUUUAGAACUGCUUUGCUGUUGGACAUUAUGCAUUUUAGCUUAGUUGUUGAGAUAUUAUGCAGUUUGAUUAGUUCAUUCUCUUAUGAUUUUAUCCUUGAAACGAUUGCAGUAUGCAGUUGUUUGUUUCUAAAUGUUAAAGAACUCAGUUCUUCCCACAUAUUUAUAUAUAUAGUUUGGUUAUGCUCUGUAUCCUUAAGGAAGCUGCUGGGUUGCAAGUAGGAUUUAAAUAAAUCCUAUAAAUCUUGGUUUAGUGAA